CUUCACAAAUAUUUUGAUAUGAGCGUCACUGAUGAGUCUUAUGUAGACGAAACGCGCGUCUGGCGUACUAAAUUAUAAUCCUGGUACCUUUGAUAACUAUUUACAUACAAAUAGAAAAUAAAAUAUAGCAUUACAACUACAAACGAUAAUACACAAACCAAUAUCCGAUCCGAAUUACAAAUAAAACAUCAUAACUAAAUACAUGAAUGCUGGUUAAACAAAUACCGAAACACGUCUUAUAGCAAUGCGAAUUCGCACUCAGCAAAACAGUCAUAUUCGGGAAUAGGUCACGUUCGCUACUUAAGAGACCAGACGAUGUUUAUGGGAAACCACAAUAAAAGGCAAAGGAAAAACCUCAGUUAGUUUAGACACAUACACAUCCUGUGGAUCAACCAAUUUAUGAAUGUGUCCAUAAAAUUUACGGUGUGUUAUUUUUAGCUCAUCUGGCCCAAAAAGGCCAAGUAUGUUUGUCACAUCACUUGGUGUCCGUCGUUCGUUGUGUCGUCGUCGUCCGUCAUCAACCGUUAAGUUAAAAAAAAAUAGCGGAUAAAAAGGUGCCAAAUUAAUUAUUGAUUAACUAAACUGGUUUGUAGACAAUACUUGAAUAUAAGUAUAAAAAAAGAUGUGGUAUGAUUGCCAAUAAGACAACUCUUCGCAAGAGACCAAAUGACACAGAAAUUAACAACCAUAGUUCACUGUACGGUCUUCAACAAUAAAAAAAAAAAAGGCCAUACUGCAUAGUUAGCCGAAAUGAAAAAUGUAAGCAAUCCAAACGAGAACACUAAUGGCCUAAUAAAUGUACAAAAUGAACCAAACACAAACAUGAUACACAACAACAUACAACAAAUUCUGAAUUACAGACUCCUGACUUGGGACAGGCACAUACAUACAAAAUGUGGCGGGAUUAAACAUGUUAGCGAGAUCCCAACCUUCUCCUUGACAUGGAAAGUGGUGUAACCUUACAACAUAAGAAAGAACUAUAAAAAUCAGUUGAAAAAGACUUAACUCCUCAGAUGGAUACACAUAUAAAUACAGUAACAAAAACAUAGAGUGGGCGUGGCCGCGUACUUGUACAUCCCAAUAAUAAAAAGACACUAAGUGCAAAUCUGAGAGUACUCGCAAAGACAAUUAAUACAAAAAAAGUGCAUCUAUGACUUUUAAAUUAUCAAUCAGUACACAUCCAACACAAUUGAUUCAGUGUAAAGACGUCAUAUACAAUCAGAGAAAAACAUGACCUUGUGCAUUGCCAAGAAACAG
rnacentral:lncRNA from 1 species